rnacentral:ncRNA from 15 species
UGUCUCCUCCACCUUCCGAAAGGGUGGAUUCGGCCCAAGGCAGCAAUGCCUUGGGCUCUUUUC